rnacentral:snRNA from 1 species
AUCGCUUCUCAGCCUUCUGGCUAAGAUCAAGUGUAAUAUCAGUUUAUAUCAGCGAAUCUACGGGAGAGGGUUUAUUUUUGUUUUUUUUAUUUUUUAUGUUAUAACAAUU